rnacentral:rRNA from 1 species
GGACGGGUGAGUAACGCGUGGGUAACCUACCCCAGAGUCCGGGAUAACAGCGGGAAACCGCUGCUAAUACCGGAUGCCUUUACCUUGGGGCAUCUUGAGGUAAAGAAAGGUAACGCUUUGGGAUGGGCCCGCGUCCCAUUAGCUAGUUGGUGAGGUAACGGCUCACCAAGGCGACGAUGGGUAGCCGGCCUGAGAGGGUGGACGGCCACACUGGGACUGAGACACGGCCCAGACUCCUACGGGAGGCAGCAGUAGGGAAUAUUGCGCAAUGGACGGAAGUCUGACGCAGCGACGCCGCGUGAGCGAUGAAGGUCUUCGGAUCGUAAAGCUCUGUCCUUGGGGAAGAAGGCGAAAGCUUGACGGUACCCAAGAAGAAAGCCCCGGCUAACUACGUGCCAGCAGCCGCGGUAAUACGUAGGGGGCGAGCGUUGUCCGGAAUUACUGGGCGUAAAG